CCGUAAAAUUGCAGUUGAUACUGUCAGUCUUGAGUACAGUAGAGGUGGGCGGAAUUCGUGGUGUAGCGGUGAAAUGCUUAGAUAUCACGAAGAACUCCGAUUGCGAAGGCAGCUCACUGGACUGCAACUGACACUGAUGCUCGAAAGUGUGGGUAUCAAACAGGAUUAGAUACCCUGGUAGUCCACACAGUAAACGAUGAAUACUCGCUGUUUGCGAUAUACAGUAAGCGGCCAAGCGAAAGCAUUAAGUAUUCCACCUGGGGAGUACGCCGGCAACGGUGAAACUCAAAGGAAUUGACGGGGGCCCGCACAAGCGGAGGAACAUGUGGUUUAAUUCGAUGAUACGCGAGGAACCUUACCCGGGUUUGAACGCAGUCCGACCGCCGAUGAAAGUCGGCUUCUAGCAAUAGCGGAUUGCGAGGUGCUGCAUGGUUGUCGUCAGCUCGUGCCGUGAGGUGUCGGCUUAAGUGCCAUAACGAGCGCAACCCUUGCCGUUAGUUACUAACAAGUUAUGUUGAGGACUCUAGCGGGACUGCCAGCGUAAGCUGUGAGGAAGGCGGGGAUGACGUCAAAUCAGCACGGCCCUUACAUCCGGGGCGACACACGUGUUACAAUGGCGUGGACAAAGAGCAGCCACUUGGCGACAAGGAGCUAAUCUCCAAACCACGUCUCAGUUCGGAUCGGAGUCUGCAACUCGACUCCGUGAAGCUGGAUUCGCUAGUAAUCGCGCAUCAGCCAUGGCGCGGUGAAUACGUUCCCGGGCCUUGUACACACCGCCCGUCAAGCCAUGGGAGCCGGGGGUACCUGAAGUCCGUAACCGUGAGGAUCGGCCUAGGGUAAAACUGGUGACUGGGGCUAAGUCGUAACAAGGUAACCA
rnacentral:rRNA from 1 species